AACUCCUUGUCAUCAGAACAACAGCUUCACGAUAGGACUUCUCAAAACCUAAACUUGCCAUACGAGCAACAGCGUCAAGAAGUCGGAGUCUCAAUAAGCCUGGUAUCGAUGCAUCACGCUCCUCUAAGCUUUCAAUGAAUUUCGGCAAUAUCAUAUCCACAACUUCAGGCCUCUUAACUGAAGAAUUUAGAUCAGCUAGUAACCUUAUAACGUUUAACUGCAAGGAAGGAACUGCGUGGUUCUCUCUCUCUACCUCUUCCUCAUAACCAUUCCUUUCACAAAUAGGAAAUCCCAUUAUAAAGGUGUCAACAGGAGAUCGAUCCUUGUUCCAUCCAAAUUGAAUUAUCUCACAACUUGUCUUCAACACACUUUCAAACAUGGGCCCCUGGUUGCUGCCCCAAGUGUCUG
rnacentral:misc_RNA from 1 species